AGAGUUUGAUCAUGGCUCAGAUUGAACGCCGGCGGCAUGCUUUACACGUGCAAGUCGAACGGCAGCACAGGGAGCUUGCUCCCGGGUGGCGAGUGGCGCACGGGUGAGUAAUACAUCGGAACGUGUCCUGUUGUGGGGGAUAACUGCUCGAAAGGGUGGCUAAUACCGCAUGAGACCUGAGGGUGAAAGCGGGGGAUCGUAAGACCUCGCGCAAUUGGAGCGGCCGAUGCCCGAUUAGCUAGUUGGUGAGGUAAAGGCUCACCAAGGCGACGAUCGGUAGCUGGUCUGAGAGGACGACCAGCCACACUGGGACUGAGACACGGCCCAGACUCCUACGGGAGGCAGCA
rnacentral:rRNA from 1 species